rnacentral:lncRNA from 1 species
CUUAAAUGGUGGUGGGGACAGUUGCUAGAGUCAAUCAGAGAAGAGCAGGAGGGCACUGACCCCUGAUUGCUACCCAGGGUCUUCCAGACUUCUAGUCCUAAGUUACACAUCCCCAAGCCCAAAACAGUUGCUUUUAAAUUAGUAACUGGAGAUCUGACUUCUUUCAGAUCUGAUGCCCUGGCCAGAAAGGCUGGUACAGAGGACCUGCCUGCUCUCUCAGCUCUGGCUAAGUUCCUGACAAAAUAAGAGUCCUUUCUCUCUCUUCCAAUUUCUGCUGAAACAGCAAAGAUGGCAGCAGCAGCAGCAGCAGCAGCAGCAGCAGCAGCAGCAGCAAUGAUUCCAAAACUCAAGAGCAUCUGCCCUACCUCAUUUGCUGGGAUCUAUUAAUCUCUUACAAUAGCCAGCAGCUAACCCAUCUGGCAGACACCUGGUCUUGAUUUAAUUAACUGGAGAAUUGAAAGAAAGGAGGAUCUCGAGUGAUUCCGGGGUAGCCACACCACUCAAGAGGCCCACCCAGAGCAUGAAAAACCCAGAAACUACAUCUCUGAAGACCUACUGCUUACCGGGAGAAGCAGGGCCUCACAAGGAUCCCAGGAUGGAAUGAAAAUAGGCCAGAUGUCACGAGGGUCUCCUGUGGAUAACUACAGGUGCUCUGACUCAAGGCAGAGAUGGCCAUGUCCACCGUGGAGAAGAAGAGAGCUAAGAUAGCUUAGGCCUCAGGGUGAUAAAGGCACGACAUGGAGGCUUGGUAGUUCGGAGCGUUCAGCAAGAUUUUGUGUGGAUGUGCAACCACGUCAUUCACACAAAGACUUACCUUCCAGCUGUUAACGAGCCGAGCCGGGAUAACCUUCGGGCCUCAGUUACUACAUCUGUCCUUAGGGUUCACACUCCUCUUUCAAGGUCAAUUCAGUGCUGCCUCCUUUGGGAGCUUCUUCAGGUGUCUCUGUCUUCGGCUCACACAGAGGGCUUCCUCCAGCUCAGUUGAAAUGAAAUCAUACCACAUAUUACUUCAUGCUUCUUCUCCUUUGCUCACGCAGUUCCUUGUGAGCAUGGACUAGAUGAGGCCUUGUUGGCUUCCGUAUACCCCGCUGAGAUUUUUUCCCCCCAGGCAGGCAUGUGUAGGGGUGGUCCUCUACCUCUGCAUCUUCUCUGGGCCCUGGAGUUUCAAAUUCUGUGCAUUCUCUCCUUCUAGUUUUGAGUUCUCACAACAUUCCGAGUCUUUUCUCUGGGUGUACUUCCUAGGUCACUCCGCUCUGGAACAGUUAACAUCCUCCCCUGUUCUGGAUAUUCUAGGGGUUUCAGUGCAGCUAGGACCACACCGCUACAUUCAUAACUCCAUACCAUUGGGUCACAAGCAAGAUUUUGCUGAAAGGACCCUGAUAUAGCUGUCUCUUGUGAGGCUAUGCCGGUGCCUGGCAAACACAGAAGUGGAUGCUCAUAGUCCGCUAUUGGAUGGAACACAGGGCCCCCCCAAUGGAGGAGCUAGAGAAAGUACCCAAGGAGCUGAAGGGGUCUGCAACUCUAUACGUGGAACAACCAUAUGAACUAACCAGUACCCCGCCCCCCCCAGAGCAUAUGUAGCAGAAGAUGGCCUAGUCUGCCAUCAUUGGGAAGAGAAGCCCCUUGGUCUUGCAAACUUUAUAUGCCCCA